rnacentral:misc_RNA from 1 species
UCCCCGUUACCGGGGCAGUCUGAUUAGAAAAAUACAACUAAUCAUAAGGGUUGCGCUCGUUGCGGGACUUAACCCAACAUCUCACGACACGAGCUGACGACGGCCAUGCAUCACCUGUCACUGUGUUCCCGAAGGCACAAAUUCCUUUCGGAAUUCUUCACAGGAUGUCAAGUCCAGGUAAGGUUCUUCGAUUAUCAUCGAAUUAAAGAACACGCUCCACCGCUUGUGCGGGUCCCCGUCAAUUCCUUUGAGUUUUAAUCUUGCGACCGUACUCCCCAGGCGGGAUGCUUAACGCGUUAGCUUCGCUACUGGAUGGGUCGAGCACCCAACAGCUAGCAUCCAUAGUUUACGGCGUGGACUAC